AGUGAACGCUGGCGGUAGGCCUAACACAUGCAAGUCGAACGGCAGCACAGUAAGAGCUUGCUCUUACGGGUGGCGAGUGGCGGACGGGUGAGGAAUACAUCGGAAUCUACUUUUUCGUGGGGGAUAACGUAGGGAAACUUACGCUAAUACCGCAUACGACCUACGGGUGAAAGCAGGGGAUCUUCGGACCUUGCGCGAUUGAAUGAGCCGAUGUCGGAUUAGCUAGUUGGCGGGGUAAAGGCCCACCAAGGCGACGAUCCGUAGCUGGUCUGAGAGGAUGAUCAGCCACACUGGAACUGAGACACGGUCCAGACUCCUACGGGAGGCAGCAGUGGGGAAUAUUGGACAAUGGGCGCAAGCCUGAUCCAGCCAUACCGCGUGGGUGAAGAAGGCCUUCGGGUUGUAAAGCCCUUUUAUUGGGAAGGAAAAGCAGCAGGUUAAUACCCCGCUGUUCUGACGGUACCCAAAGAAUAAGCACCGGCUAACUUCGUG
rnacentral:rRNA from 1 species